AUGAACGCUGGCGGCGUGCUUAACACAUGCAAGUCGAACGGAGUUUACUUAACAGAUUCCUUCGGGAUGACGUUUUUUAAACUUAGUGGCGGACGGGUGAGUAACGCGUGGGUAACCUGCCUUACACAGGGGGAUAGCAGUUGGAAACGACUGGUAAUACCGCAUACCUUACAUUAUUCGCAUGUUUGAUGUAAGAAAGAUUUUAUCGGUGUAAGAUGGACCCGCGUCUGAUUAGCUAGUUGGUGUGGUAACGGCAUACCAAGGCGACGAUCAGUAGCCGGCCUGAGAGGGUGAACGGCCACAUUGGGACUGAGAUACGGCCCAGACUCCUACGGGAGGCAGCAGUGGGGAAUAUUGCACAAUGGAGGCAACUCUGAUGCAGCGACGCCGCGUGAGUGAAGAAGUAUUUCGGUAUGUAAAGCUCUAUCAGUAGGGAAGAUAAUGACGGUACCUACAGAAGAAGCCCCGGCUAAAUACGUGCCAGCAGCCGCGGUAAUACGUAUGGGGCAAGCGUUAUCCGGAUUUACUGGGUGUAAAGGGAGUGUAGGCGGCAGUACAAGUCAGGAGUGAAAACUUGGGGCUCAACCCCAAGACUGCUUUUGAAACUGUACAGCUAGAGUGUAGGAAGGGCAAGCGGAAUUCCUGGUGUAGCGGUGAAAUGCGUAGAUAUCAGGAAGAACACCGGUGGCGAAGGCGGCUUGCUGGACUAUAACUGACGCUGAGACUCGAAAGCGUGGGGAGCGAACAGGAUUAGAUACCCUGGUAGUCCACGCUGUAAACGAUGAAUACUAGGUGUUGGGUCUCGAUAGAGAUUCGGUGCCGAAGCAAACGCAUUAAGUAUUCCACCUGGGGAGUACGUUCGCAAGAAUGAAACUCAAAGGAAUUGACGGGGACCCGCACAAGCGGUGGAGCAUGUGGUUUAAUUCGAAGCAACGCGAAGAACCUUACCAGGUCUUGACAUCCUUCUGACCGCACCUUAAUCGGUGCUUUCCUUCGGGACAGAAGAGACAGGUGGUGCAUGGUUGUCGUCAGCUCGUGUCGUGAGAUGUUGGGUUAAGUCCCGCAACGAGCGCAACCCUUAUCCUUUGUUGCCAGCACGUAAUGGUGGGAACUCAAAGGAGACUGCCGGUGAUAAACCGGAGGAAGGUGGGGAUGACGUCAAAUCAUCAUGCCCCUUAUGGCCUGGGCUACACACGUGCUACAAUGGCACUAAACAAAGUGAGGCGAGACAGUGAUGUUAAGCAAAGCACAAAAACAGUGUCCCAGUUCGGAUUGUAGUCUGCAACUCGACUACAUGAAGCCGGAAUCGCUAGUAAUCGCAGAUCAGCAUGCUGCGGUGAAUACGUUCCCGGGUCUUGUACACACCGCCCGUCACACCAUGGGAGUCGGAAACGCCCGAAGCCGGUGGCCUAACCGUAAGGAAGGAGCCGUCGAAGGCGGGUUCGGUGACUGGGGUG
rnacentral:rRNA from 1 species